CGACAAGGAACCAUUUUUGUUGUGGGCAAAGCGUUCCUUCCCCUUGUUAAACGGUUCAAGUGCUUAGAUUGGCUUCCUGUUAGGGGAUUUGUAGACAUCGCGCGCGUUUGCAAGGCCACUGUCCCUCAACACCACCGCCAACUCACUGCAUGUGAGAGUCAGGGAUAUGCGAAGGAUGAAGAAAACAGAGAGCAAAAGGAGAAGCCAUGAGACACAGAGGAAGGUACAAUCCUGCUCAGUCUCCUGGCUAAAUCUUUCCCAUGGCUGUGACACUGUCUAGGAGGGAUAAACAUGACAAGAGGUAUGAAAGAAGACCCCAGAA